UUUAAUUGGCAAAGAGCAGCCUCUUGCUGAACGUGUAUUAUGAUUUACGAGUGUUGAAAGGGUCUCACAAACUGGAUGAAGACCCUAUAUGCUCAUUCUGUUUUCUUGGAUGAUUGAAUAGCUCAUUCUUGUUUUCUACUUAUGAGAAGCAAUAUUCGUCUGUGAAUAUAGAUGAGAUAUGUAAUAUCAAAAAUAUUCUUAGAUACUCGCAAUGGAUGCUGUGGCAGAUAAAGGGAACUAGUAUAAUAAUGAGAGAUUUUAAUAAUAGCACAUGUAAAUGAAAAACUCAAAAGUAGGGUGAAAGAAAUGAUAGAUGUGGUCUGUGUCUGUCAUGUGAUGUGGAUCAAUAGUGAGGUGCCAAUGGCAUAUGCCUUGGAAGAUGCCUCCUUUUCUCCCCAUCUCAUUCUCCUUGCUUCCUUUUUUCUACCAAAAGUGAUUACACAUCAUUCCCCUCCUAUAUAACCACUAACAAGACCUACCUUCUUAACCUCCUCAAUAAAAAUUCCACCAUUUAUGUUAUCCACGAUGUGACGAGGUGUUCUCACCUGUCGCACACUCCUGCCACUGGCGGCAGGAGUCGACAGGCAGUAGUGGCGACCGUGGUGGUGUUGGUUGUGGUGUCUGUCAGUCAUGCAUUUCCCCUGAGGAAGGCUUGAUACUGUGAUAGGGCAACUUCGAUCCUUUGGCAUUUUCGAUUCCUCCAUGUUCUUCAGCAGAAGGAUGGAAUCACUACAGGGCGAGUCAGAUUAUCUAUAUAGUCCUAUAUAUGUGUGUCUUGUUCGAUUCAAGUUAAGUUUUUUUCUUAAUGUUGUUACAAACUAUGGCAGAGCUUCUGUCUAAGUUCAAAUAGACUCUGCCACUCUGGCUUGCACGAAAUUUAAUAAUUAAUAUUUGAAUUGUGUUUGUAUUAGUUCAGAUUGUGUCUAUUGGUAAGCUGCAUAUGCAUGUAAUUUCAAAAAACAUGUGGUACUAUUUCCCAUCGGCAAGUGAGAAUAUUAUAGAUAUCAACGUAGUUGUAAUGGAAGUGCACGUUUAUUUAUAUACACACACGUACGCAUUUCCUGAUAAAAUCCUGUAAACUUAUCGAGCCAGAGUUUUGCAUGCUAUUGCUACUCAUCAGAAAUAUGUGUAUGUUGUUUUCUUUUCUCUCCUGAUAUCUUCUUUGGCAUGCGGUUCUCAGAUAUUAAAUCAAUUUUAAGCAAAGAGGCAGGAAAAAAGUUGUUUUGAUGUGAAGUUUUCAAAUAUUA
rnacentral:lncRNA from 1 species